GAUGAACGCUAGCGGCAGGCUUAACACAUGCAAGUCGAGGGGCAGCACGGUAGCAAUACUGGUGGCGACCGGCAAACGGGUGCGGAACACGUACAGAACCUACCUUUAUCUGGGGCAUAGCCCGAAGAAAUUCGGAUUAACUCCCCAUAAUAUAAUUAGAAGGCAUCUUUUGAUUAUUAAAAAUUUAUUGGAUAGAGAUGGCUGUGCGUCCCAUUAGCUAGUUGGUAGGGUAACGGCCUACCAAGGCGACGAUGGGUAGCUGGUGUGAGAGCACGACCAGCCACACGGGCACUGAGACACGGGCCCGACUCCUACGGGAGGCAGCAGUGAGGAAUAUUGGUCAAUGGACGCAAGUCUGAACCAGCCAUGCCGCGUGAAGGAUGAAGGCCUUCUGGGUUGUAAACUUCUUUUACCUGGGAAGAAACCUCAAUUUUCUAAUUGAGUUGACGGUACCAGAGGAAUAAGCACCGGCUAACUCCGUGCCAGCAGCCGCGGUAAUACGGAGGGUGCAAGCGUUAUCCGGAUUUACUGGGUUUAAAGGGUGUGUAGGCGGGUCUUUAAGUCAGUGGUGAAAUCUCCGAGCUCAACUUGGAAACUGCCAUUGAUACUAUUGAUCUUGAAUUUUGUUGAGGUAGGCGGAAUAAGUCAUGUAGCGGUGAAAUGCAUAGAUAUGACUUAGAACACCAAUUGCGAAGGCAGCUUACUAAACAAAUAUUGACGCUGAGGCACGAAAGCGUGGGGAUCAAACAGGAUUAGAUACCCUGGUAGUCCACGCCCUAAACGAUGAUUACUCGACAUACGCGAUACACAGUGUGUGUCUGAGCG
rnacentral:rRNA from 1 species